AUUGAACGCUGGCGGCAUGCUUUACACAUGCAAGUCGAACGGUAACAGGCCGCAAGGUGCUGCCGAGCGGCGAACGGGUGCGUAAUGCAUCGGAACGUGCCCAGUCGUGGGGGAUAACUACUCGAAAGAGUAGCUAAUACCGCAUACGAUCUAUGGAUGAAAGCGGGGGACCGUAAGGCCUCGCGCGAUUGGAGCGGCCGAUGUCAGAUUAGGUAGUUGGUGGGGUAAAGGCUCACCAAGCCAACGAUCUGUAGCUGGUCUGAGAGGACGACCAGCCACACUGGGACUGAGACACGGCCCAGACUCCUACGGGAGGCAGCAGUGGGGAAUUUUGGACAAUGGGCGCAAGCCUGAUCCAGCAAUGCCGCGUGCAGGAAGAAGGCCUUCGGGUUGUAAACUGCUUUUGUACGGAACGAAACGGCUCUGGUUAAUACCCGGGGCUAAUGACGGUACCGUAAGAAUAAGCACCGGCUAACUACGUG
rnacentral:rRNA from 1 species